rnacentral:rRNA from 1 species
UGGGGAAUCUUGGACAAUGGGCGCAAGCCUGAUCCAGCGACGCCGCGUGGGUGAUGAAGGCCUUCGGGUUGUAAAGCCCUUUUCCCAGGGACGAUGAUGACGGUACCUGGGGAAUAAGCACCGGCUAACUCCGUGCCAGCAGCCGCGGUAAGACGGAGGGUGCUAGCGUUGUUCGGAAUUACUGGGCGUAAAGGGCGCGUAGGCGGCCGCAUAAGUCGGGUGUGAAAGCCCAGGGCUCAACCCUGGAAUUGCAUCCGAGACUGUGUGGCUCGAGACCGGGAGAGGAGAGUGGAAUACCCAGUGUAGAGGUGAAAUUCGUAGAUAUUGGGUGGAACACCGGUGGCGAAAGCGGCUCUCUGGCCCGGAUCUGACGCUGAGGCGCGAAAGCGUGGGGAGCAAACAGG